GACGAACGCUGGCGGCGUGGAUUAGGCAUGCAAGUCGAACGGUAUCAUCCUUUCGGGGGUGAGAGAGUGGCGAACUGGUGAGUAACACGUAGGUUAUCUACCCUCAAGACGGGGACAACCCAGGGAAACUUGGGCUAAUACCGGAUGUGAGCAGCUUUUAGUUGUUUGAAAGGUGGCGUAAGCUGUCGCUUGGGGAUGAGCCUGCGUCCUAUUAGUUAGUUGGUGAGGUAACGGCUCACCUAGGCAAUGAUAGGUAGGCGGCCUUAACGGGUGGUCGCCCACACUGGGAUUGAGAUACGGCCCAGACUCCUACGGGAGGCAGCAGUCGAGAAUAGUCUACAAUGGUCGGAAGACUGAUAGUGCGACGCCGCGUGAACGAUGAAUCCCUUCGGGGUGUAAAGUUCUUUUAUAUGUGAGCAGUGCUUCUUAUAUUAACAGUAUGGGGAAGAGAUAUUAGCAUAUGAAUAAGCAACGGCUAACUCCGUGCCAGCAGCCGGGUAA
rnacentral:rRNA from 1 species